CAUAUCACUGAGCGCAGGAGAAGAAACUAACCAGGAUUUCCCUAGUAACGGCGAGCGAACCGGAAAGAGCCCAGCUUGAAAAUCGUGGCGCCCCGGCGCCUCGAAUUGUAGUCUGGAGAAGGUCCCUCUGCGGCGCGCCGGACCCAAGUUCCCUGGAAAGGGACGCCAUCGAGGGUGAGAGCCCCGCUGAUUCCGGAGUGCGCCGCUCCACGAGGACCUGUCUGCGAGUCGGGCUGUUUGGGAAUGCAGCCCUAAGCGGGUGGUAAAUUCCAUCCAAGGCUAAAUAUUGGCAAGAGACCGAUAGCGAACAAGUACCGCGAGGGAAAGAUGAAAAGGACUUUGAAAAGAGAGUUAAAAAGUGCUUGAAAUUGCUGGGAGGGAAGCGAAUGGAAGCUGCGGGUGCGCCCCGGUUGGAUGUGGAACGGCUGUCAAAGGCUGGUCCGCCACUCAACGCGGGGCGCUGGUCAGCGUGGGCCAUCGCGGCGGGACAAGAGCGGGGAUUCGCUUCCCGCCGAUGCCGCUGCGGUGGCCGAGGAACGAAGCGCGCGCUCUUCAUGGGCGUGGGACUUGUCCCAACUGCGCGCUCGGGACGCUGGCGUAUUGAGCUCUUCAUCCGACCCGUCUUGAAACACGGACCAAGGAGUCUAACAUGUAUGCGAGCCGGUGGGCGGCAAACCCAUUGAGGCGCAAGUAACCUGACAGGUGGGACCCCGACCGCAAGGGAGGGAGCACCAUCGACCGACCGUGAUCUUCUGUGAAGGGUC
rnacentral:rRNA from 1 species